rnacentral:rRNA from 1 species
AGUAGUGUAUGCUUCUCCUAAAGACUAAGCCAUGCAUGCCUUCGAAUACGAGGAAGCAAUUCUCUCUGAAUCUGCGAACGGCUCCGCAAACCAGUUGUAAACUAUAGCAAGCAAGCCUGGGUUUGCCCUUCACGGGGUGGGCUUGGGUAACAUGGAUAUCCUUGGUAAUUCUGAGGCUAAUACGAGAACGCAAUCCUUGGGCAACCGGGCAACCGGAAGACCGAGAGGCGUGCAAGUUGUGUCGCGAGAAUUCGCCAGGAAUGGAUGCACGCCAGGACCGCGCCAAAGACAGAUAGGUGUUCCCUUGCCUUCAUUGGCUUGGGGGUGCUCGCCUGAGCGGCUCUUGCUGUGUGCUUCUGACCUAUCAACUAGACGGCAGCGUAAGGGACAUGCUAUGGUUACAACGGGUACAGAGGAUUAGGGUUCGAUCCUGGAGAGUGGGCCUGAGAGAUUGCUCAUACUUCUAAGGAAGGCAGCAGGCGCGCAACGUUCCCCUUGUGCAAUGCAUGAGGGCGUUAGGGGACAUAUGGAUGCCUGCCCAUUGGGUGGGCAAUUCAAAUGGGUUUGUUGUAAACAGGCUC